GUGGGGGGUGGGCAGAGGCCAGAAGACCCAUUUCUCUCACCGAGCAGGAAGAACUGGUUUAGGUGGCGUCCAGUGCAUGUUCCUCUUUGCCUCUGAUGUCUGGAAGGGGAAUUCAGCGAAAAAAAAGACUCCAAUCUGGAGCUCUGACCCAGCUUCCUCAAUCCAGGCUGUAGCGAGGCACCUGUGUAGCCGAGCCCAGGGGUCCCCGCGGACCACGCACCCUCCCGUUCCUUCCCUCCUCUGCACCCCGAGGCCACGCUCCCACUGUGCCCGCCCCGGCGUUGUGUCCCUGCUGCCGAUCUGGACUGGCCAUCACCCUGCAUCAGGGCGUGCAGUCGCGCCUCUCCCCUCGGCCAGGAGCUCUGGGAGACAGAGACCGUGUGUGUUUUAUGACCACACAUAGUGAGAUACCAGGUACACAGAGGUGCCCCCCUCCGUAAGAUCCAGAAGGACUGACAGCCUCGAUGAAGAAGAUCUUCUUGGGCAGGAGCCGGCCAGCCUGAACCCUGCUUCCCCAGGCGUGAAGUGGAGACAAUAAUACCUGCUCGGAUGACCCCAGUGCACCACUGCAGGAGUGUUCAAUGACAAAGGACUGAUCUCGUCUCUUCUGUGAGAGAAAAAAAACGCCCCUGCUUAUGAGAACGGAAAGGACCAGGCAGCGGGAAGUGCCACUCCUUUCUUGGCACACGGAUGUGAAGACUCACCAAUGAAGGAUGAAGCCACCCUCUGCAGGCGGCUGCUCUGCAGUGCUGGGAUGACCUGUUUUUCAGGACUCCUACUGCUGUAUUCACAUGAAACACAAGAUGUGAUGUCUGCAGGGGCUGCCUUGAAUCUUCCCUCUGUUAGUUUCCCUGAGGGAGGUGCAAGAAAAGGAGACCAUCAUCUACUGGGCCCCUAUCAGCACGUGGGCCCUGACCUAGGCACCCACCCGCCAGCUAACGAUGGACUUUGACCUCAGGUCUGGGCUGCCUGUCACGACUGCACCUGGUCUGGGCGGCCUCAAAAGCUGGACUCACCUCAAAAAAGCUGCCUGGAGCACCUACACUUGGCCUUUGUGUGGCCUGGGCUUCCUCAUAGUAUGGAGCCUUGGGUGGCUUGCCGUCUUGAUGGAAGCUCAGGGCACCUCGAGGGAGCAGAACCAGGGAGAAGUAGUCAUGUAUGGAUGUGAGAGUUGGACUAUAAAGAAAGCUGAGCACUGAAGAACUGAUGCUUUUGAACUGUGGUGUUGGAGAAGACCUUUGAGAGUCCCUCAGACUGCAAGGAGAUCCAACCAGUCCAUCCUAAAGGAGAUCAGUCCUGGGUGUUCAUUGGAAGGACUGAUGUUGAAGCUGAAACUCCAGUCCUUUGGCCACCUGAUGCGAAGAGCUGACUCAUUUGAAAAGACCCUGAUGCUGGGAAAGAUUGAAGGCAGGAGAGAAGGGGAUGACAGAGGAUGAGAUGGUUGGAUGGCAUCACUGAGUAAAUGGACAUGUGUUUGGGUAAAUUCCGGGAGUUGGUGAUGGACAGGGAGGCCUGGCAUGCUGCAGUCCACGGGAUCGCAGAGUCGGACACGACUGAGCAGCUGAACUGAACUGAACUGAUUAUGUUUUGAUUAUUAUGUAUUUGAUACUUAGGGGGAAGUCCUCCCUAAGUUUUACCCCCUCCCGAAUUUUGGAUGAAUAUAUAUGUAUAUAAUUCAUAUGUAUGUAAGCUAUAUGUAUAUUUAUAUUUAUUCAUUCAUCUUUUAUCAAUUAUUUAUAAUUACAUAUUUAUUUUUUCUGUAAGAUGUUUAGAAUCAUUUUGCUAAGUUCCAUGACAACUUUUAAGCUUACAUUUGUGGAUUAAUCUGAAGAAGAAUUGACAUCUUUAAAAAUGGAGACUUCCCAUCUAGGAGUAGGAUCUUUCAUAAGAAAUGUUUGAUGCUUUUUUGACAGUUUUCUUUACGUUGGUCUUACACGUCUCUUGUUAGGUUUAUUCCAACAUAUUAUUUUUAUGAACUGUACUGGGAAUGGGAACUGAGAAGUCUUCUAAUGAUUAUUGCUCCACGGAAAGCUGUUUAGUUUUUUGUACUGUCCUCCUGUCGUCUUAUAGAACUCUUGGUUAUGAUAACAUUGUUAGAUGACUUAUGUAUACAUUUUUGGUUGGAAAGUCAUAUUAUGCGUAAGCAAUGAUGGCAUUUCCUAUUCAUUAGAGUUUGUAGGGUGAAUACACACAAUGUUAUCACUUGUGGAUGUUUCAUAAUUAUAUCUGUGCUUCUCAGAAGAGAAUUUCGGAAGCCACUGAGUUCAUCCACCCCACCACUCACCACUUGGCCAGGGCCCACAAAUCCCGCUUUGGGUGGCUUGCUCAUAGACGCCCACACAUUGGAGGCAGGGCUGGCCCUGGAACCCGAGACUCCUGACCUCAGCAUGAUGCCAGCCCAUCCUAUCCGACUGGACUCUCAUAGUCACAGUCCUCAUCUGCUGCAUUUUCCUCGCUCGUGGAGCUCACUUAUGGUUUGUUGUAUUUAGUCGCUAA